UUCUUCACUGCUUCACAGUUGGGCUAUUUUCUCAUUGCAGAUCCUGGGAAAGAUACGAACUUCAGAGAAUGAGUUAUUGGCAGGAAUGGACUGCUUCAUACUCAUACUGAUCAACAAGAAACAAGGAGGAAAGUGAAGCCUAAUAGAAGCAACCUCCUUCCUCAAGUGCUAUCUUCACUGGAGUUUGGUGGUGUCCCUCCUUCCUUUUUUCACAUGGAAUCUCACAUCUGUGAAGAAAAGAAAAUUUCCACAACUUGUCCAGUAUUUCAAAGAUUUGCAAUGUAG
rnacentral:lncRNA from 1 species